GACAGAGGAUGCAAGCGUUAUCCGGAAUGAUUGGGCGUAAAGCGUCUGUAGGUGGCUUUUAAGUCCGCCGUCAAAUCCCAAGGCUCAACCCUGGACAGGCGGUGGAAACUACCAAGCUGGAGUACGGUAGGGGCAGAGGGAAUUUCCGGUGGAGCGGUGAAAUGCGCAGAUAUCAGGAGGAACACCGGUGGCGAAGGCGGGUCUCUGGGCCGAUACUGACGCUGAGGAGCGAAAGCGUGGGGAGCGAACAGG
rnacentral:rRNA from 1 species